AUCCUCCUGCAGGCGGACUGGCAGGAGCCCCGAGGGGUCUGGGAAGGCACUGCCUGGUCCCCCUGCCCAGCCUGACAGUCCUCAGCACAGCAUAGGGCCCGUGCCGGCCUGCUGCCCUCGCCCUCCCGCAGAGCGGUGCUGCCCGUGGCACUCCGUGAGACGCUGGGGGCAGAUCCCAAUGGCUCCGGGGUCAGGCAAGCUGGUGGGGCUCAGCUUGGGUACGUGCUGGACAGCGUGAGAUCAGGACAGCCAGAGAAAUGUCCUGUCACAGGUUCCCUGGCAGGAAUUGGGCUUCUGAAAACGGCAGUCCCUUUCCGGCAUGGAGCCGCUUGUUGUGAUGGAGUCUUACAAAACUUCCUUUUAAUUGCACAGUUGUAAUUUCAGUGAAUUAAAGGAUCAUUAGGAAAUAGAAGAGAAAGAAGAUGCUGCCUCUCUCUCCAACACCUCACAGCUUAGGGCCUCCAGGCUUUUAACCAGCUCCACACUGCGCCCGCUGGCUACAGCUGGGCUUUACGUGGGCUAGAGGAACAUGCCCACUACGAGCCAGUCCUGGCUCCUGGCUGAAUCGGACAAAUUGAACCUGAUUCUCCUCCCACCGAGCCCAGUGUAAAUGGAGAGACUUCCACUGCAGUGACACCAGGAUAAAGCUGCAUUACACAAACUUGAAUGGAAAAUAUUUGACUUCUGGACUGGAAGAAUGAGCUCUGCUUUCCAAGUUUAACAGCAAGUAGAAUUUCCCAUGCACCAACCAAACAGACGAAUGAAAAUGUCCUUGGGAAGGAAAGGGGGAAGAUUAUAUGUUCACUGGCUUGAAAAGUUCACCAGUUUUCUUGGCAACCUUUUCCGUCAACUGUCUGUCCUACCCCAGAUUAUGUAACAUUCCUUGGACUCGAGAUGUUCCAGACGCUCAGAUCUUGUUGGCCUGUUUAGCCUCCAAACAUUUAACCUAUUUUAUUACUGCCUUUUUUUUGUGGAGCUAUUUGUAUCUGAGCAGAGUAAGCAUAAAACCAGGAAUAAACCUCUCCCAAGUUAGAAGGGUAGCUAUUUACCUACCUUUUGCUCAAGACUAAAUGAUGCUACAAGAUGGAACAGCAGACUUGCUGCACCAGAUGGCCUGCUGUUUGAAGUGUGGACAC